CCUACGGGAGGCAGCAGUGAGGAAUAUUGGUCAAUGGGCGCGAGCCUGAACCAGCCAAGUAGCGUGAAGGAUGACUGCCCUACGGGUUGUAAACUUCUUUUAUAAAGGAAUAAAGUGAGGCACGUGUGCCUUUUUGUAUGUACUUUAUGAUUAAGGAUCGGCUAACUCCGUGCCAGCGGCCGCGGUAAUACGGAGGGUCCGGGCGUUAUCCGGUUUUAUUGGAUUUAAGGGGAGCGUGGAUGGGUUGUAAAGUCAGUUGUGAAAGUUUGCGGCUCAACCGUAUAAUUGCAAUUGAUACUGGCAGCCUUGAGUACAGUUGAGGUAGGCGGAAUGCGUGGUGUAGCGGUGAAAUGCUUAGAUAUCACGAAGAACUCCGAUUGCGAAGGCAGCUUACUAAACUGCCACUGACAUUGAUGCUCGAAAGUGUGGGUAUCAAACAGGAUUAGAUACCCUAGUAGUC
rnacentral:rRNA from 1 species